UGGGCAGGCAAAGUGAAGUGCAAAAUACAGGUGGCUUAAAUCUCUGAGCUCCAAUUUCCCCUUAUCUGUGAAAUGGAAGGAACCCACAUAGAUUGACUUCUCAGUUUGUGGCGAGGAUUACAUGAACUACUAUGCUUAUAAGCAAAAAUAGAGUCUUUGCCGCCGCGCCGGCGAGCGCCGCCCGGGAGGCAGCGGCUGGAGGAGCGGACGGGCCCCGCGGGGCCCGAGGGCAAGGAGCAGCCGCCUGCCUUGGCCUCCCAAAGUGCCGAGAUUGCAGCCUCUGCCCGGCUGCCACCCCGUCUGGGAAGUGAGGAGUGUUUCUGCCUGGCCGCCC
rnacentral:lncRNA from 1 species